rnacentral:rRNA from 1 species
AGACGGAGGGGGCUAGCGUUGUUCGGAAUUACUGGGCGUAAAGCGCGCGUAGGCGGUGGUUCAAGUUGGGCGCGAAAGGCCUGGGCUCAACCCGGGAACUGCGCUUAAUACUGGUAGACUUGAGUCCGGGAGAGGGUGGCGGAAUUCCCAGUGUAGAGGUGAAAUUCGUAGAUAUUGGGAAGAACACCAGUGGCGAAGGCGGCCACCUGGCCCGGUACUGACGCUGAGGUGCGAAAGCGUGGGGAGCAAACAGGAUUAGAAACCCCGGUAGUCC